rnacentral:lncRNA from 1 species
AAACCUAAAAGGGGAGGCUUUUCCACAUUUUUUUUCCUUUUGCCGUUUUUGCUUUUGCAUAGUUUCUUUUCCAGUAGCUUAGUCAUUGUUUAUUACGAGUUCUACACUGCUCCCCUUGCAAUUUCCCAUUUCCUUUUUAGCAUUUAGUUAAUUCUUUUCGCACAAUAGUUUCUGCAACGGAAACUAUUGUGCACCUUUUUACCGAAUCUAACCUUACGUUAGGAUCUAGUUUAUUUCCUUCGUUUUAAUUUGUUGUUUA